GACGAACGCUGGCGGCGUGCUUAACACAUGCAAGUCGAACGGAAAGGCCCCUUCGGGGGUACUCGAGUGGCGAACGGGUGAGUAACACGUGAGUAACCUGCCCUUGACUUCGGGAUAACUUCAGGAAACUGGGGCUAAUACCGGAUAGGAAUCCUUGCUGCAUGGUGGGGGUUGGAAAGCUUCGGCGGUUUUGGAUGGACUCGCGGCUUAUCAGCUUGUUGGUGGGGGAGUGGCUUACCAAGGCUGUGACGGGUCGCCGGCCUGAGAGGGCGACCGGCCACAUUGGGACUGAGAGACGGCCCAGACGCCGACGGGAGGCAGCAGUGGGGAAUAUUGCACAAUGGGCGGAAGCCUGAUGCAGCAACGCCGCGUGCGGGAUGACGGCCUUCGGGUUGUAAACCGCUUUCAGCAGGGGCGAAGCUUGUGGUGACGGUACCUGCAGAAGAAGCACCGGCUAACUACGUG
rnacentral:rRNA from 1 species